UACGAAGGGGGCUAGCGUUGCUCGGAAUCACUGGGCGUAAAGCGCACGUAGGCGGCUUUUUAAGUCAGGGGUGAAAUCCUGGAGCUUAACUCCAGAACUGCCUUUGAUACUGAAGAGCUAGAGUCCGGAAGAGGUGAGUGGAACUGCGAGUGUAGAGGUGAAAUUCGUAGAUAUUCGGAAGAACACCAGUGGCGAAGGCGACUUACUGGACACAUAUUGACGCUGAGGUGCGAAAGCGUGGGGAGCAAACAGG
rnacentral:rRNA from 1 species